rnacentral:snRNA from 1 species
AUACUCUGGUCUCUCUUCAGAUCGCUUAAAUCUUUCACCUUUUACCAACGAUUUCAGUGGAGAGGGACUGCUUGAUGAGUCUAAAUCUAAUUUUUUGACUGUAAUGGUACAU